GACGAACGCUGGCGGCGUGCUUAACACAUGCAAGUCGAACGGUGAAGCGCCUUCCUUUUUGGUGGGUGUGGAUGAGUGGCGAACGGGUGAGUAACACGUGAGUAACCUGCCCCCUUCUUCUGGAUAACCGCAUGAAAGUGUGGCUAAUACGGGAUAUUCUGGGUCUGUCGCAUGAUGGGUCUGGGAAAGAUAUUGUUUCGGUGGGGGAUGGGCUCGCGGCCUAUCAGCUUGUUGGUGGGGUGAUGGCCUACCAAGGCGGUGACGGGUAGCCGGCCUGAGAGGGUGGACGGUCACACUGGGACUGAGACACGGACCAGACUCCUACGGGAGGCAGCAGGGGGGAAUAGUGCACAAUGGGCGCAAGCCUGAUGCAGCGACGCCGCGUGAGGGAUGGAGGCCUUCGGGUUGUGAACCUCUUUCGCCAGUGAAGCAGGCCUGCCUCGUUUGUGGGUGGGUUGACGGUAGCUGGAUAAGAAGCGCCGGCUAACUACGUG
rnacentral:rRNA from 1 species